CAGCCGUAAGCUCCAUUUCCUUCGUUUCCUGUCAAGUUCUUUGUGAUCGGAGAUUCUUUUUAUUUCUUUUCGUGCUGGAUUUGCCUAUGUUCUGGAGUCUUGAGCAUUUUCCAACUUUUUUUUCUUUUUUUUUUCCUUUCCCAAUCCUUGAGCUUGAUGAAAGAGAGAUGGAAUUAUGGACUUCAUAUACGAAACACAAUACCCUCAACCGAAGGUACUUUUUUUUUGUGGGAUAUUUUUUCAACUUUUUCAAUUAAAUUUAUCGUGUGAUCUUGAUUUUGAGGGUUUCAAUUCGAAAUUGCUUAAAUGAUUUUUUUCUGCGGAGAGGGAACCUCAAUGUGAUUUUUUUUUUUUUUUAAUGCAAAUGUAUGUUGAGAGGGGAAAGAGUGUGAAGCAUCUGAUAAUCCUUAUAGCGAAAGCUGAUGUAAUCACUAAAUAUUGGAUGUCUUUCCCAUAUCAAAACAGAAUCUUAAUGCUUGCCUGCCUGCUUCCAUUGUGGCUCGCAAGUUUGGCUUUUCUGUUACAUGCCAUGCUAAUUUUCUUUUUAGGUAGCCAUUUUCCUAGUUUUCUAGUUUACUUGAUCUUUAUCAUCUCAUCACUAAAGUCUUUUGAAGCCAUGAGCAACGAAAGUAGGUUAAAAUAUUCUAGUAAAAAAAGAAGAAUACGUAAGGAGAAAUCAAAAUGAGGUGUACCAAAAAUAUUUGGUAGUAACUGAUAUUUAAAUGAUGUCCAUUUACUGUGAUAUGUGCUUGUAAAUAUUUUUAAUAGUAAAUAUAUUCUAUUUUAGUAAAUGGUAUUUUGUGAGUUUCAGUCUUCAAUGCCCUAAUUUAUCAUCUUACGAGCUCACAGUAAAUAUUUUACAUCCAAAAAUGCUAGGAUAGAUUAUUACUUUUAAUGAUAAAAGCAGAUAAGAAUACGUAUUAUUUAAAGUCUUCAAAAAAAAACAAAAAUUUUACCAACAAUGACCUCGUCAAUAUAUAUCAACUUCCAGUUCUAUUUGCACUAGAUUUGUAUUUAAGGACAAACAGAUGACAUGCAAGUGUAGGCAUGGACAUCACAACUUGAAAUUUAUAGGGCUUUCAGGGGGGAAAAAAAGAAGAAAAAAAGGCUUAUAGAUCUCUCUUUCAAAGUCGACAUGGUUUUAUUGAAGUUUUUUUUUUAUUAUUACAUUCCAAUAUCUGUACUUAUCAAACCAUCUAAUGGAGCCAAUACUCUAGUAUGGAAUAACUGAGGGGAAAGCAGCUUGGCUCCAUUUGUGGAAGGCUCACUUCAUAAGUUAAAAGAAGAGCUGUGCGGUUGGUGAUUCAAGAGGUGGAUUCCCGCGAAUGAUGGUGAAACCUUCUUUCGCGCCAAGAUACAGCCCAGUCUAUUUACGUCGGAAAAGAUCUUCACCUUCUUUCGCGCCCAGUCUAUUUACGUCGGAAAAGAUUGUCGUGCAUCACAAGAUGAUGCCGGUGGGGCCUUGUGUCUCAUCGGGAACGAACAUAGACUCUUGACAAGGCGACACCUUUGCUACCGACGCAUUCAAGGCUCGAAUGAAGGUGAAACCUUCUUUCGCGCCAAGAUACAGCCCAGUCUAUUUACGUCGGAAAAGAUUGUCGUGAAUCACCAGAUGAUGCCGGCGGGGCCUUGUGUCUCGUCGAGAACGAACAUAGACUCUUGACAAGGCGACACCUUCGCUAGCGACGCAUUCAAGGCUCCGUCACAAAAGUUCCUUCUUCAUUCAAGAUAACGGCGUGACUUUCGAUGUCCACACUGAGACGCAGUUCCUCCCCAAUAAAACGGGUGAUGAAAAAAAUAUUAAAUACCUUGGCCAUGGAUCAGACGGACCUCGGAAUAAAUUAAGGUGAACAAACUUAAGCUCUAGUCGAGGAGCCAUUAGCUGAGAAGUUGAUUAACACGCGUCGACAAUGACUACAGUCCUAGUAAUGGGCUAUCGUAACAGCAACUGGUCGAUGCGACAACUCUGUAUUUGACGCACGGUCAGUACUGUACGCUGCCUACGUAGAUUGGCUCCCAUGCCAUGGCUAUACUACCAGUCGUUGCCUGACCAUCAGUGUAACAUUGAUUCAGAAGGGUCUAAAGGAAAGUAGAAGGCUGGCGGAAGGUGCGGUAACCCUUCGGGUUGGCAAU